GAUGAACGCUGGCGGCGUGCUUAACACAUGCAAGUCGAACGAAGCACCUCGAUUUGAUUCUUCGGAUGAAGUUCUUAGUGACUGAGUGGCGGACGGGUGAGUAACGCGUGGGUAACCUGUCUCUUCCAGGGGGAUAACAGUAAGACAUGACUGCUAAUACCGCAUAAGAUCACAGCACCGAAUGUUGCAGGGGUAAAAACUCAGGCGGUAUGAGAUGGACCCGCGUCUGAUUAGGUAGUUGGUGGGGUAUCGGCCUACCAAGCCGACGAUCAGUAGCCGAGCUGAGAACGUGACCGGCCAGAUUUGGACUGAGACACAGCCCAAACUCCGACGGGGGGCAGCAGUAUAGAAUAUUGCACAAUGAGGGAAGCCCUAAUACAGCGACGCCGCGUGAGCGAUGAAUUAUUUCGUAAUGUAAAUCUCUAUCAGCAGGAGAGAAAAUGACGGUACCUGGCUAAGAAGCACCGGCUAAAUACGUG
rnacentral:rRNA from 1 species